rnacentral:rRNA from 1 species
AUACGGAGGGUGCAAGCGUUACUCGGAAUCACUGGGCGUAAAGCGCGCGCAGGCGGUUUAGAAAGUCAGAUGUGAAAGCCUAUGGCUUAACCAUAGAACUGCAUUUGAAACUUCUAAACUAGAGUGGGGGAGAGGUCAGUGGAAUUAGUGGUGUAGGGGUAAAAUCCGUAGAGAUCACUAGGAAUACUCAUUGCGAAGGCGACUGACUGGAACUUAACUGACGCUGAGGCGUGAAAGCGUGGGGAGCAAACAGGAUUAGAUACCCCGGUAGUCC